rnacentral:lncRNA from 1 species
AGCUUGGCCGAAAUUUUAGGGGAGGAAAAAACAAGAGAGAAACCUUCAAUUCCAACUUUAACUUGUGCUUGAAUCUUGAGUUCCAAUCAAAGUUUGUGCAAACUACUCCAUAAAACUUGCUCACUAAGGAGAUUUAAAGGCUUUGGUAGAGUGAUUUUGGAGAGGAAAGCUCUAAGCUACCAUCUUUAUUGAGGUUACAAGGUACUUUGGUAAGAAACUUCCCUCCACUUCAUAUAUUUGUAAACUAGUAGUUUAAAGCUGUAGUUUUGGUAGCUUUGUGAGGAAAUUUCAUGGGUUGAAAUAGUAUUAUGGUAAAUUUCAGUUUUAUGAUAAAUUCUCUGCUCUUAUAUGAUACUUAGUGAUUGGUCAUGAUUUGAUAACUUAGCUAUGUGUAAUAUUGAGGAAUUAUAUGCUAGUUUGACUUAUCUAAAGAAAUUUCCAACUUUAGCUUCAAAUUCCCAGCAUUGAUAGUGAUGAAUCUGCCCUGUUCUGACCAGCUUCAUUCGGCCAUGAUGGAGGCCUAAUUGGACUUAGCUCAAAACAUGAAAGUUGUAGGAAAUGAUGUUAUAUAGUUAUCUAUAAAAUUUCAACUAAAUCCGAGAACUGUAACAUAUAAAAUGACAAAAAUACCCUUGACUGCCAAAUGUAUAGUUUUUCGGACAGUUUUGAGAUUACACAAUUCUGGCUUCAUUUUUCACUUUGAUCUGUAUCAAAUCAGAAUUUGUCCAAAACACAAAAGUUUUAGCCCUAUGUUUCAUCUUUCCAACGCAUCUAAAAAUGUCUCAAUCGGAAUUGUGUAGCUUGAGUUAUUGCCGUUUGAAUCCAGUGCUGACAACCAAACUAACCAUGAACUUUUGGUUCUGGAAUCUGCAAAUUUGACCUAUAUAAACUAUGAACUGGGUUGAGUUGUCUUCAUAAAAGUUGUAACCCUUUGUCUUAGCUUCGAAAUGGUAUAAAGUGUACCCCAAUCCGAUAAAUUUAGCUCCAGUUGUGACCAAAAUGCUAUAAGAUGUCAAAUCUGCUGUUUAGAUUUUGUCUUCAAAACUUAUUUCCAAUUAUCUUAUUCGACUUGUGUUGUAAUUGAAUGAUGUUGGAGCCUAUUGGAGGCCUAUGUUGGUAACAUUACUUGUGUGUGAUUGUGGGGCUGAAUUGAGAAAAAUAAUGAAGUCAUAAAUGGCUGGAAAAUAGAUAAACACAAAGGGCGUGCUGUCCAAAUUUUCACUCGAGAGUUAGGCAUAUGUACCUGUGACUUGAGCGACGAUUUGAGGUCAAGUUGGAUUUGGAUCGCCUAUGGUAUUCGAGUUUUCUUUAGUCAGGAUAUAUAAGUUAAAAUUUUGCCGGAACUCGUGCUCUUGAAAAGUGAAAGUAGCGACCCUUUCAAAAUACGAUUUUCCCGAUUUUUGAUACCAAGUGUAACUUCUAAAGUCGAAACCACUUCUUGAUCAUAACUAAACGAGUGAGCAUGAAUUUUUUGAAAUUUGAUAAGUAUCUUGAAUACUACUUAAACGAGUUGCAUUUACUUGAUUUUCUUGAAACAAAACUCCUAUGUUUCUAACUCUAGAGAGUUUUACAUUCGUAAAUGAUAUUUUAUCGCAGAUUUGGACUCCAACCAAGGAGUUAGACCUGAACGUGACUUUUGAGAGCCACUAGACCUUUGGUGAGUGCUUCCAAAUACCUGAUGGAACUGAACACUUGUUUUCAAUACUUGAGUAAUGUGAUCGAAUGAUAUUUGAUUGGU